rnacentral:rRNA from 1 species
UACGGAGGGUGCAAGCGUUAUCCGGAUUUACUGGGGUUUAAAGGGUGCGUAGGUGGGCAGGAAAGUCAGUGGUGAAAUCUUCAAGCUUACUUGGAAACUGCCAUUGAUACUUUUUUUGCCUUGAAUAUCCCGGAGGUAAGCGGAAUAUGUCUGUAGCGGUGAAAAUGCUUAGAUAUGACAUAGAACACCCAUUGCGAAGGCAGCU